CCGCACAAGCGGUGAGCAUGUGGUUUAAUUCGAAGCAACGCGAAGUAACCUUACCUAGGUCUUGACAUCCCGAUGCUAUUUCUAGAGAUAGAAAGUUACUUCGGUACAUCGGUGACAGGUGGUGCAUGGUUGUCGUCAGCUCGUGUCGUGAGAUGUUGGGUUAAGUCCCGCAACGAGCGCAACCCCUAUUGUUAGUUGCCAUCAUUCAGUUGGGCACUCUAGCGAGACUGCCGGUAAUAAACCGGAGGAAGGUGGGAUGACGUCAAAUCAUCAUGCCCCUUAUGACCUGGGCUACACACGUGCUACAAUGGUUGGUACAACGAGUUGCGAGUCGGUGACGGCGAGCUAAUCUCUUAAAGCCAAUCUCAGUUCGGAUUGUAGGCUGCAACUCGCCUACAUGAAGUCGGAAUCGCUAGUAAUCGCGGAUCAGCACGCCACGGUGAAUACGUUCCCGGGCCUU
rnacentral:rRNA from 1 species